rnacentral:rRNA from 1 species
UACGGAGGGUGCAAGCGUUAUCCGGAUUCACUGGGUUUAAAGGGUGCGUAGGUGGAAUGGUAAGUCAGUGGUGAAAUCUCCAAGCUUAACUUGGAAACUGCCGUUGAUACUAUCAUUCUUGAAUAUCGUGGAGGUAAGCGGAAUAUGUCAUGUAGCGGUGAAAUGCGCAGAUAUCAGGAGGAACACCGGUGGCGAAGGCGGGUCUCUGGGCCAAUACUGACGCUCAGGCACGAAAGCGUGGGGAGCAAACAGG